rnacentral:tRNA from 2 species
CAUUAGAUAACUGAAAGUCAGUAUUGGUCUCUUAAACCACCUCAUAGUAAAUUAACGCCUACUUCUAAUGA